AAGAGACAGCAGCAGCCGCGGUAAUACGAAGGGUGCAAGCGUUAAUCGGAAUUACUGGGCGUAAAGCGUGCGUAGGCGGUUUGUUAAGUCUGCUGUGAAAUCCCCGGGCUCAACCUGGGAAUGGCAAUGGAUACUGGCAAGCUAGAGUGUGUCAGAGGAUGGUGGAAUUCCCGGUGUAGCGGUGAAAUGCGUAGAGAUCGGGAGGAACAUCAGUGGCGAAGGCGGCCAUCUGGGACAACACUGACGCUGAGGCACGAAAGCGUGGGGAGCAAACAGGAUUAGAUACCCCCGUAGUCCCUGUCUCUUAUAC
rnacentral:rRNA from 1 species